GCUGAUGUGGCUCAGGUGGUAGAGCACAUCCUUGGUAAGGAUGAGGUCACCAGUUCAAGUCUGGUCAUCAGCU
rnacentral:tRNA from 1 species